rnacentral:lncRNA from 1 species
UUUUUUCUUUUUCUCGCUCUCAGCAUCAGAGGCCUCCUGUCGCUGUCUGUAAACCUCAGCCAGUCAAAGUUUCUUUUCUUCGCUUUUCCUGAUCAUCUCAUCAAGAAAAGCCCUCUGCUCCACACGGUAUUUUCCCACUCUCUCUUCUCCUCUGCUUUCUCCUCUGCUUCAGCCUUCGCUCGACGCUCUUCCAAGUCCAAACUAGCCCAUGCACAAUGACCUCUUUCACGAAUCUCGGUCACCGCC